CUGAAAGAGUUAUUUAAAAACACGUUUCUAAACGGGAAAUCAUGUGAGGAUCAUUGCAUUCUACAGCACUCCAACAGGAUAUGUGUCAUCACACUUGCGGAGUCUCAUCCUAUCCUUCAGAACGGAUGAAAAAUCAAAAACAUAAACUUCCAGAUCAGUGAUGGAUGCAGUCGUCUGAAGAACAAGGUGUCUGGAAAGUCAAAGCGAUAAGGAUCAUUAAUCUGUAGGGUGGUCAGUCCCUGACAGAGUUUGCUCCACUGUGUAGAAUAACGUGCACAGAUGAACAGGAGUACACUGUAUUCAGCUGCAUCCGAGGACGUCUCCUAGAAGUAAAUGAAGGCAUUCUGAACAAGCCAGAUCUGUUAUUAGAAAAGAUGACUUACAGUACAGCUUAAAAAAUAAAACGGAAAAUCUCCUUUUAACCUUUAAGACCACAUUUGAA